GACAGAGGGUGCAAACGUUGCUCGGAAUCACUGGGCGUAAAGGGCGUGUAGGCGGGAAGGAAAGUCAGAUGUGAAAUCCCUGGGCUCAACCCAGGAACUGCAUUUGAAACUCCCUUUCUUGAGUGUCGGAGAGGAAAGCGGAAUUCCUGGUGUAGAGGUGAAAUUCGUAGAUAUCAGGAGGAACACCGGUGGCGAAGGCGGUUCUCUGGGACGGUACUGACGCUGGAGGCGACGAAAGCCGUGGGGAGCAAACAGG
rnacentral:rRNA from 1 species